CGGCGGCACGUACGCCAGGAACCCCGGCUCUUCAGCUCAGGGAGGGGAGGAAGAGGAGGACGACGAAGGAGAGGACGAAGACGAGGAGGACGACGACGACGAGUAGAAGACGAGCUGCAGCUGGAUGAGAGGGAGAGACUGAAUGUGUUAGAGAGAGAGAGAGACAGUUGGAUCAGUUGAGUCAAACCUCACCUGUGCAGGUGAAGCUACAUCACCAGUCACAUGUUACUGACCCCACCGAAGAUCACCUGGAACUCAGGUUUCGCCGUCCAACGUGGAGUCCAGAUCAGUUCAGGACCAGACAGAAGGUCAGUGAAGACGUCUGGAAGACCUCAGCUAGGAACUUCAGCCGCUGUCUGCCCGAGGUCAGGGGUCAUUAGAGGUCAUCCGGGUCGUCUGUCAGUAGCCAGGACGGCAGUGUUUUUCUUCCAUACACGAUUCCGUGUAGAAAAUCAUGUUAUAUUAGUCGAUCAGUUGAUGAACAGAAAGUUGAUCAGCAGCUGUUUCUGUCAUUGAAGAAUACUUUUCAGUUUCCAGCUUCUCAAAUGUGAGAAGCUGAAAUAAAUCAAUAAAUAAUGAUUGUUGGUCAAACACAA